AACGAACGCUGGCGGCAUGCCUAACACAUGCAAGUCGAACGAGACCUUCGGGUCUAGUGGCGCACGGGUGCGUAACGCGUGGGAACCUGCCCUUAGGUUCGGAAUAACUCCCCGAAAGGGGUGCUAAUACCGGAUAAUGUCUUCGGACCAAAGAUUUAUCGCCUUUGGAUGGGCCCGCGUUGGAUUAGCUAGUUGGUAGGGUAAAAGCCUACCAAGGCGACGAUCCAUAGCUGGUCUGAGAGGAUGAUCAGCCACACUGGGACUGAGACACGGCCCAGACUCGUACGGGAGGCAGCAGUGGGGAAUAUUGGACAAUGGGCGAAAGCCUGAUCCAGCAAUGCCGGGUGAGUGAUGAAGGCCUUAGGGUUGUAAAGCUCUUUUACCCGGGAUGAUAAUGACAGUACCGGGAGAAUAAGCUCCGGCUAACUCCGUG
rnacentral:rRNA from 1 species